rnacentral:rRNA from 1 species
AUGCAUUGGUAUACUUGGUGGAAAUUGUGUUACCCAAAGAGUGAAGGAGGAAUGUGUUUCAGAGAUCUUCAUUCCUUUAACUUGACAAUGCUCUCAAAACAGUGUUGGUGUCUUAUUACCAACCCUGAUUCCUUAUGUGCCAGGGUGUUGAAGGUAAAAUACUUCCCCAACACACACUUACUCCAAGCUACCCAAUAA